ensembl:lincRNA Gm15232 predicted gene 15232
AGAAGGGGGAUCAGAGAGCAGACAGAACCACACAUAUGACUUUUAACCGACUGUGUCUUUCUUCCUGACAGCAAAAGGAAGAAGAGGAAGCUGCAGAACAUGUGUAACAGAGACAGCAAUGUACAGCAGCGGGACUUAGAGGAGGCCUCAAGCUAAUGAAAAUGGGCAUUAGAAUCUGGAAAAAAACAAGGCACAGAUGUUUUCUUAGAGCUUCCUGGGUACACAUGGCCCUAGCCACACUGUGAUUUGGUCCCAGAGAUACUUAUCUCAAAAUCCUUGUUCCUAGAACUGGGAGAGAAUAAUCUUCCAUUGCAUAGAAAUCAUUAGUCAGUGGUCAUUUGUUACAGCAGCCCCAGGAGAUGAAUUUGCCUUGAUAAUUUACCCUAGGGGCCCCAGUUGAUCCGUUGCCAUUGAAGGGCAAACACUUUGCUGCAGACAAGUCCAGAGAAAGUGGAAAUGGUUGGAGGGUUCUUUCUGGCAUUUGUCCAUCUGCUGGAGACAAAGUUUCUCGUUGGCCUGAGACCUCACCACGUAGUCUCAUAGAUCUUGAAGUGCUUGUGCAAUCAAGCAAGAAGAAGACCCAAUGGGCAUGAAGUCUGAUUUUCAGCAUGAAAACCCAAAGCAUUUUUUCAUAACUUUUUUUGAUCACUGUAAAUAGUUCAGAGGAACUCUUUUUUGAAAGGCCAAUGUGGCGCGCAAUUGUCUUUAUUUGAUUAAGCUUCAGGACGAAUUUGUAAUGUGCUGUGGGAUAAACUUGCCAAGCUCAAGCCAAGCAAAGAUCAUUCAAUCUCCACCCCCUCUCACAUUACUCUGAAAGAACAUGGUUUUAGAACACAGUCAUCACCCUCCCCCCUUUUCUUUGGCUCUGAUGUAUUGUGGCAUAUCAGAGAAUUAAGAAGCAUGAAUAAAAGGAUCACAGGAACAACAAACACAGUUUACGGAGCUGAGAUUCGCCAGAUCAUCUCAACCCAAUCUUUUGAUACCAAAAUUAGAAAGAGACUUUUUAGAGCAGGGGUGGUUAGAUGGUAGAAGGCCCGCCUAACUAACAUGCUAGAGGCCCCGAGUUCCCACCUUGGGGUUAAAAAUACAUUUCAGGGUCAAAAAGAAAGAGACGGUGGUGGGACAAGGCAAAUUUCACUCUUGAUCAAUAGGUUGUGCUCAGAGGAAUGAACACACAGAGGCAGGAAGUACACUUGGUUUUAUUCUAACACAGGUGGUAUCUGUGUCAUUUCCUCCUUGGCUGAGGUCUGACCUUUGAGUCUUAUUUGAUUGGCUAGUCUGAAAAGAAUUUGUGCAGAGGAAAUGAAGGAGGGAGGAGGGGGAAAGGACUGUUGCUCUAAGGGGAAAAGGGUCACUGCUCAAGGGCCACCAAAUUCCUGGAAUGUAGCUGGGAGUUUUCAUAUGAACAAAGGUUUUGCUAGACAGGAGGGGGAUUAAAACAUUUACAUAAAAGUCAUACAAAGUACAGAAGGUUAAAUAUAUAUAUAUAUAUAUAUAUAUAUAUAUAUAUAUAUAUAUUUGAAUUGCUUGUCUUAUAACACAAACUUUAUACUAUUUGAUUAGAAAAGGCUGAUAUCUACUAUCUGAACAUUCAAAUAUCAAAUGGAGUGCGCGUCCCUGUUACACCCAAGUGAGAUGCUAUUAGCAGUUAAAGCUGAUUGUACAGAGAUUCAAUGAGCUCAGAAGAGACAGAGCUAUAUAUAGAAGGAUGACUCUCCCAUUAUUUCUGAAGGCUGCAUUUACACAGUAAGGAUUCAGAUGAUGCAAUUAGUCAUGGCAUAGAUGGGGUGUCUACUGUGUUUCAGACUCCUUGUUGGGUACUGGGUAUGUAGCACCUCAUGAAACUUCCAAAUUCGUAGGGGGUGGAAAGCUGAGGCUUUAAGUAAAAAGCUGAAAAGAUAGAUAUGGAAGUCACCAGGCAAGGUGAUGAGGGGUUUGGAAUGGAUUAACAGCCUAGUUGGCAGAGUGCUUGCUUGGCAUGUGUGAAUCCCUGGGUUUGAUCCCUGUGACAGGAUCAAACUGAAUGUGGUGCUGUAUCUUUAUACCUAGCCUUUGGGAACAGGGAAGAGGGUUAGAAGAUCAGGGCUGUUGUUGGUUAUAUAUGGAAAUUGAAGACAGCCUGAGAUUUCUGAGACCUUACCAUGAAUAAAUAAAUCAAUAAAUCAAUAAAUAAGAAAGAUACAGGAAGCUGAUAAUACAGUUCGUGAGAGGCUGAGUGAAAAUAACAAGUUCUAGGCCAGCCUGGGCUACAUAGGGACACUGUAUC